rnacentral:rRNA from 1 species
UAAUAAGUUAAAACUUUCAACAACGGAUCUCUUGGUUCUGGCAUCGAUGAAAAACGCAGCGAAAUGCGAUAAGUAAUGUGAAUUGCAGAAUUCAGUGAAUCAUCGAAUCUUUGAACGCACAUUGCGCCCAUUAGUAUUCUAAUGGGCAUGCCUGUUCAAGCGUCAUUUC